rnacentral:rRNA from 1 species
AGCGAACGCUGGCGGCAGGCUUAACACAUGCAAGUCGAACGCCCCGCAAGGGGAGUGGCAGACGGGUGAGUAACGCGUGGGAACAUACCCUUUUCUGCGGAAUAGCUCUGGGAAACUGGAAUUAAUACCGCAUACGCCCUACGGGGGAAAGAUUUAUCGGGGAAGGAUUGGCCCGCGUUGGAUUAGCUAGUUGGUGGGGUAAAGGCCUACCAAGGCGACGAUCCAUAGCUGGUCUGAGAGGAUGAUCAGCCACAUUGGGACUGAGACACGGCCCAAACUCCUACGGGAGGCAGCAUUGGGGAAUAUUGGACAAUGGGCGCAAGCCUGAUCCAGCCAUGCCGCGUGAGUGAUGAAGGCCUUAGGGUUGUAAAACUCUUUCGUCAGGGACGAUAAUGACGGUACCUGAAGAAGAAGCCCCGGCUAACUUCGUGCCAGCAGCCGCCGUAAGAC